rnacentral:rRNA from 1 species
CCUACGGGGCGCACCAGUGGGGAAUAUUGCACAAUGGGCGCAAGCCUGAUGCAGCCAUGCCGCGUGUAUGAAGAAGGCCUUCGGGUUGUAAAGUACUUUCAGCGGGGAGGAAGGUGUUGAGGUUAAUAACCUCAGCAAUUGACGUUACCCGCAGAAGAAGCACCGGCUAACUCCGUGCCAGCAGCCGCGGUAAUACGGAGGGUGCAAGCGUUAAUCGGAAUUACUGGGCGUAAAGCGCACGCAGGCGGUCUGUCAAGUCGGAUGUGAAAUCCCCGGGCUCAACCUGGGAACUGCAUUCGAAACUGGCAGGCUAGAGUCUUGUAGAGGGGGGUAGAAUUUCAGGUGUAGCGGUGAAAUGCGUAGAGAUCUGAAGGAACACCAGUGGCGAAGGCGGCCCCCUGGACAAAGACUGACGCUCAGAUGCGAAAGCGUGGGGAGCAAACAGGAUUAGAUACCCGCGUAGU